rnacentral:rRNA from 1 species
CGCCUCCUGAUUAAUUAUAAGAGGUCAGGCCUGCCCAGUGACAUUGUUCAACGGCCGCGGUAUCCUAACCGUGCGAAGGUAGCGUAAUCACUUGUUCUUUAAAUGAGGACUAGUAUGAAUGGCUUCACGAGAGCUAUACUGUCUCCUCUAUCUAAUCAGUUAAACUAAUCUCCCCGUGAAGAAGCGGGGCUACACCUAUAAGACGAGAAGACCCUAUGGAGCUUUAAACACUUAGACAUUUGAACCCCUAAUAAAAUAUUUAUAUACUGCAUUAAACUCAUCAUUUUGCCCUAAGUUUUAGGUUGGGGCGACCACGGAGAAAAAACCAACCUCCACGUAGAAAGAAGCUCCACUUCUAAGCAAAAAGUCACACCUUUACGCAUCAAUAAACUGACUUAACUUGACCCAAUUAUUUGACCAACGAACCAAGUUACCCUAGGGAUAACAGCGCAAUCCGCUUUAAGAGCUCCUAUCGACAAGCGGGCUUACGACCUCGAUGUUGGAUCAGGGUAUCCUGGUGGUGCAGCAGCUACUAAUGGUUCGUUUGUUCAACGAUUAAAACCCUAC